rnacentral:rRNA from 1 species
AAUCACUUGUCUUUUAAAUGAAGACCUGUAUGAAUGGCAUAACNAGGGCNUAACUGUCUCCUCUCCCCAGUCNNGAAAUUGAUCUUUCCGUGCAAAAGCGGGAAUGAACACAUAAGACGAGAAGACCCUAUGGAGCUUAAGACACAAGGCAGCAAACGUUAAAACCCCUGAGCAAACAGACAUAACCAAGUUGAUGCCUGCCCUUUUGUCUUUGGUUGGGGCGACCGCGGAGGAACAAAAAUCCCCCACGUGGAACAGGACCUGCUCCUCAAAACCAGAGCCUCAGCUCUAGUAAACAGAACAUCUGACCAAAAAGNUCCGGUACUACCGAUCAACGGACCGAGUUACCCUAGGGAUAACAGCGCAAUCCCCUUUCAGAGCCCA